CAGCUAGUUGGCGGGGUAACGGCCCACCAAGGCGAAGAUCGGUAGCCGGCCUGAGAGGGCGCACGGCCACACUGGAACUGAAACACGGUCCAGACUCCUACGGGAGGCAGCAGUGGGGAAUUUUGCGCAAUGGGGGAAACCCUGACGCAGCAACGCCGCGUGGAGGAUGAAGCCCCUUGGGGCGUAAACUCCUUUCGACCAAGACGAUAAUGACGGUACUGGUGGAAGAAGCACCGGCUAACUCUGUGCCACAGCCGCGGUAAUACAGAGGGUGCGAGCGUUGUUCGGAAUUAUUGGGCGUAAAGGGCGCGUAGGCGGUGCGGUCAGUCACCUGUGAAAUCCCCAAGCUUAACUUGGGGCCUGCACGCGAAACUGCCGUGCUGGAG
rnacentral:rRNA from 1 species